AUGGGCUGCAGGCCGCCCGGACGCGUCUUCUUCCUCCGCGGGGGCACCGGGGGCGGGCGGGCGGGGCCCGGGGGCCGGACGCGCGGGGGGUCCCGCGGGGGGACCGGCGGAGGCGGACGCCGCUGCAGGCGCAGCUCCCGGAAGGUGACCGGCCGGCGGGCCGGGGGGCCCGGGCCGGCCGGGGCCCCGACGGGAGGCCGCUCGGCGUCGGGCGAGAAGACGAUCAGCCAGUCGGCCCGCUCCUUGGGGACCGGCGCGGGCGGAGGGCCCGGGCCCCGCUUGCGCCUCUUGGCCAGCUCGUGGAAGGACGUGACGGUGCGGCGCGGGGGGCUUGGGGGUGAGGACGCCACGGCGACGGCGUUGCGGUUGGCGUCCAGCGGCGGCCCGGCCUCCGGGGUCCCAUCGGAGCACGGGGCCGGGGCCGGGCUCCGGGGCCCGGCCCGGGCCUGGGCUUGGGCCUGGGUCUGGACCUCGGCCUGGUCUUGGGCCCGGAUCCGGUCUUGGGCCCGGGCUUUGGCCUGGACCUGGUCUUGGGCCUGGACUUGGGCCUGGUCUUGGGCCUGGGCUUUGGCCUGGAACUGGUCUUGGGCCUGGACUUGGGCCUGGGCCUGGGCCUGGACCUGGUCUUGGGCCUGGACUUGGGCCUGGGCCUGGGCCUGGACCUGGUCUUGGGCCUGGACCUGGUCUUGGGCCUGGACUUGGGCCUGGUCUUGGGCCUGGACUUGGGCCUGGGCCUGGUCUUGGGCCUGGACUUGGGCCUGGGCCUGGUCUUGGACCUGGGCCUGGUCUCGGGCCUGGCAGAAAUCAGGGCUGAGGUCGGAGGCGCAGCUGAGCGAGGAGGAGGAGGAAGAGCAGGAGGAGGUGGGCGUGGAAGGGGAGGAAGGUGACAGCCGCCGCCCCUCCCGUCCUCCGUCGUCGUCGUCCUCCUCCUCCUCCUCGUCGUCGGGGCGGCGGGGCGGCCCCCCGGCGGUCUGGAGCCCGUGCCCCCGGCAGCAGCGGCAGGGCACGGCCGGGCUGUUGGAGUUGGCGUCGAGCGGAGGCGGCGGGGCGGAGGUGGCGGGGGGGGGGCCCCGGGGCGGGGGGCGGCCCCCCGGGGGUCCCCUCCCGGAGCUCGGGCCGGCGGGCCAGGCGCAGCCCCAGCGCCACGUGCUGCAGGCGCAGGUGGUUGAGGUUGCAGGGGAGGGCGUGCUGCGGGGGCAGCAUGGCGGCCAGCCUGGAGGAGGAGGAGGAGGAGGACACCGGAGGCGGGAAGGGUGGGGGGGACACGCCGAGGGGACCGGCGCACCUGGAAGGAGGGCCGGGGGGAGGAGAAGGACGGAGACGGGGAGGAGCAGGAGGGAUGCAGGACCGCAGUGCCGGAGGGGAGGGGGAGGUCAGAGGAUGGGCGUCGGCCCGGGGCUCCUGCCGCAGCCGCGACGCCCCCCGCCCCGUCCCCGGGAUGCUGACAUGCCCCUCCCCGGUGUGUCGUCCCGUCCCCCCCCCCCCCCGGCGUCCUUCCCGCCCUACCUGCCGGGCCCGGCACGGGAAGCGGCGCCGUCCGAGGGAGCGGGGGAGGGAUGGAGCGCUAGACCCGCCGCUGGCCGCUGCGCCCUCCGCCUGGCCCCACCCCCCGGGCCCGCACGGCGCAGGCGCGGACCCGCCUCCCCUCCCCCCACCCGUGUCAUCCUCUCCCCCCCCCCCCGGGAUCUGCCCACGGCCCCGCGGCCUCUUCCCGGCAUCCCGCAUAUUCCCACGGCGCGCAAAGCGCUGGGGGGAGGCCGCCGCGGCCGGGAACGCCCAUCCUCUCCAUCCCCCAUUUAUUCAUAA
rnacentral:lncRNA from 1 species